rfam:Mus musculus chromosome 5, GRC primary reference assembly.
UAAUGUGAUGGGGAUUCCUCCCACACCAGAUGCUGCCUCAUUGCCUCAUUGAUCCACAGGGUGGAUUCAGCUGACCUGGCUGGCUACGUAGGAGUUCCCUGUUUCUCUCACCACUCUCUCAGUGUACAUACUGAAGCUGCCUGCUCUGGGGAAGAGGACCAUUUUCAGUGGAUGGAAUCCUAGCAGUUGUGCUCCCUGCUAAACUUCCAAACCAAUCAAGGAUAGAGGAACGCAUCUGAGGAUCUUGUGUCAGGGGCCAUAGGAAUCAUCAUCAUGACCACCUAGGUGGUGUGUUGCCUGCCAAG